AGGGCAGUGCCCUGCGGGGUGAGCUGCAGUCCCCAGAUCUCUUCCACCACAGCAAGCUGGACCCCGACAUGGCCUUCUGUGCCAACGUCCGGCAGCAGGAUGUGUUCAUGUUCCUGACCAACCGGCACACCCUUGGCCACCUGCUCUCCCUGGACAGCUACCGCACCACCCACCUGCACAACGACCUCUGGGAGGUGUUCAGCAACCCCGAGGACUGGAAGGAGAAGUACAUCCACCAGAACUACACCAAGGCCCUGGCAGGGAAGCUGGUGGAGACGCCCUGCCCGGAUGUCUAUUGGUUCCCCAUCUUCACGGAGGUGGCCUGUGAUGAGCUGGUGGAGGAGAUGGAGCACUUUGGCCAGUGGUCUCUGGGUGACAACAAGGGCUGCCCUGAGUCUGGGACUUCUGCCUCCAUGGCUGGUCAUGAGAGCAAACCGUAGUCCCCUGGAGAGAGCGACUCCAGAGAACCUCUUGGGAGACAGAAAAGGCAUCUGUGCACAGCUCGAUCUUCUACUUGCCUGUGGGGAGGGGAGUGACAGGUCCACACACCGCACUGGGUCACCCUGUCCUGGAUGCCUCUGAAGAGAGGGACAGACCGUCAGAAACUGGAAAGUUUCUAUUAAAGGUCAUUUAAACCAC
rnacentral:sRNA from 1 species